CCUACGGGAGGCAGCAGUGGGGAAUAUUGGACAAUGGGGGCAACCCUGAUCCAGCCAUGCCGCGUGUGUGAAGAAGGCCCUCGGGUUGUAAAGCACUUUCAGUGAGGAAGAACGCCUGGUGGUUAAUACCCAUCAGGAAAGACAUCACUCACAGAAGAAGCACCGGCUAACUCCGUGCCAGCAGCCGCGGUAAUACGGAGGGUGCGAGCGUUAAUCGGAAUUACUGGGCGUAAAGCGCGCGUAGGUGGCUUGAUAAGCCGGUUGUGAAAGCCCCGGGCUCAACCUGGGAACGGCAUCCGGAACUGUCAAGCUAGAGUGCAGGAGAGGAAGGUAGAAUUCCCGGUGUAGCGGUGAAAUGCGUAGAGAUCGGGAGGAAUACCCGUGGCGAAGGCGGCCUUCUGGACUGACACUGACACUGAGGUGCGAAAGCGUGGGUAGCAAACAGGAUUAGAUACCCGAGUAGUC
rnacentral:rRNA from 1 species